rnacentral:rRNA from 1 species
AACGAACGCUGGCGGCAUGCCUAACACAUGCAAGUCGAACGAGACCUUCGGGUCUAGUGGCGCACGGGUGCGAAACGCGUGGGAACCUGCCCUUAGGUUCGGAAUAACUCCCCGAAAGGGGUGCUAAUACCGGAUAAUGUCUUCGGACCAAAGAUUUAUCGCCUUUGGAUGGGCCCGCGUUGGAUUAGCUAGUUGGUAGGGUAAAGGCCUACCAAGGCGACGAUCCAUAGCUGGUCUGAGAGGAUGAUCAGCCACACUGGGACUGAGACACGGCCCAGACUCCUACGGGAGGCAGCAGUGGGGAAUAUUGGACAAUGGGCGAAAGCCUGAUCCAGCAAUGCCGCGUGAGUGAUGAAGGCCUUAGGGUUGUAAAGCUCUUUUACCCGGGAUGAUAAUGACAGUACCGGGAGAAUAAGCUCCGGCUAACUCCGUG